CCCCGGCCCCAGGGUGCGUGCGGCAGCGGGCGCGGCCACUGUAACCGGGUCUCCUUCCCCAGCCCCAGGCAGCUCGGGUGCCCCGGCUCAGACCUGCAGGGCGUGUGUUCCCUGCAAAGCCCAGAGGAUGCUCACAGGAUUCUCCAGCUGGCAGCUGGCAAGAGGGUGCUGAUCCUCGGCGCGUCCUUCAUCGGGAUGGAGGUGGCUGCCUGCCUUUCGGACAAGGCCAGCACCGUCAGCGUGGUGGGGAGAGAGGCGUUCCCCUUCCAGGCAGCGCUGGGGCCGCACGUCGGAGGUGUUGCCAUGAGGAUGCUGCAGAACAAAGGGGUGACGUUCCGCAUGGGAGCUGAAGUGGCUGAGCUACGAGGCAAGGGGGGCAAGGUUAGCACGUCCCGAACGCCAGGGCGCACCUGGGCUGGUCCCCCCGGCCCCUUGCCGCGGGGCUACACCUGUGUUUCACACGCGGGACUCGCUGGCCCCGGACCAUGGACGGGGUGGGGGAGCAAAGCUCCGGAGCAGGGCCAGCUGGAGGGGCGGAGGCAG